AGCUGCUCCAACCGCCAAGCCGGUCACAGGGACGACCUUCCAACCACGGCGCAGGCGCGAAGAGGCGCGGGACGCGUGGCGUCAGCGCGCCGCCGGAAAGUCUCUAUGAAGUCAGAGCUAUUAGUAUCAGCAUUUUGCCCGUGAAGAAACCGCGGUGUAGAGAGAUUCUUUUCCCGGAACUGGAUAGCCAGCAAAAUGUGAAGCAGGGUAAUAAUCUGUCUCCUGAGUCUGGGCUCUUCAGUGACACCACUGUUUCCCCAAAUUUGAAUCCAAAUAACUGAUGAUUUGUUCCAUGAAUGCCAGAGCUGGAAGGGAUGAGGAUGGCGGAAGAGACAAGACUGGAUCAUGGACCUGGUGUUUCAGUGCAGAGGCCAAAGCUACUCUCCUUUCCACCUGGCCCUGUGCUGGGCCUAACCUGGAGCCCCCUCCAUCCUCUGCCUCAUUCAUCUCUGGUUCAAGGUCCAGCGCAAACUCCACAUCCUCCAGGAAGCCCUGGUGGACUUGGGCAGACCUAGAGACACGUCUAACCUCCUGGCAAGAUGGGGGUUACAGGAGUGUGUAUAAAGGGGAAGGCAAGAACGUGCCCUUGGUGGAACAGUGAAAAGAAGGUCUAAUGUGACAAGUGUUUUGCUCCUAACCCACCCCCUGUGGUGACAUCUUCUAGGUUAACUGCUCUUGCUGAUCUCCGCACAUAAACCAAGCUAACUGUGGGAGGACUUUUGUUUCUAGUUUAAAGCAAGGAGGACUACAGUUCCUUCUGAACGCUCACCCCCAAGGAGAUAAGGAGGGCAUCCCAUGAGCAACACUGUGUGUUAAAGAUGCACAUGAGCACUAGGACUCGACCAAGGACAAACACGUCUCCAGGCCCAUCAGACCCUCGCUGCUGCCCAGAUGUCUGUUGUCAUCAGUCACAUCCUAACCUCAACCCCCUCCCCUCCUCCCACGUAAAAGGAGGCUGAAAUUCAUAGUAACUUCAGACAGUUCUUUAGGACACUGGCCCACCACCUUCUCAGUUGCUGGCUUUCCAAAACAAAGCCCCCUCCCUUGACCCAACUCCUUGUCUCUUGACGUACUGGCUGUCAUGCAGUGCAUGGUACCGGCUUGAACUCGGUUAUGUUGGCAUGGCCUCUGGCAGUGUUCAGUGUGUGGAUGAGUAUUUUACAGCUACUGUUCUAUUUCUAAUCCUCUUCCUGUGGACGGCUGUGGGAUGUGCUGUGGAUGCCCUCUCUUAGGCUGGAAUAAACCGCCCUACCUUCUC